UACGGAGGGUGCAAGCGUUGCUCGGAAUUAUUGGGCGGAAAGGGUAGGUAGGUGGUCUCAUUUGUCUGGGGUGAAAGCCUUGAGCUUAACUCAAGAAGUGCCCCAGAAACGGUGAGACUAGAGUGCUGGAGAGGUGGGUGGAAUUCCCGGUGUAGCGGUGAAAUGCGUAGAGAUCGGGAGGAACACCAGAGGCGAAGGCGGCCCACUGGACAGCCACUGACACUCAACUACGAAAGCGUGGGGAGCAAACAGG
rnacentral:misc_RNA from 1 species